rnacentral:rRNA from 1 species
UUGGUUAAGUUAGAAAGGGCGCACGGUGGAUGCCUUGGCACUAGGAGCCGAAGAAGGACGGGACUAACACCGAUAUGCUUUGGGGAGCUGUACGUAAGCGUUGAUCCAGAGAUUUCCGAAUGGGGGAACCCACUAUCUUUAGUCGGAUAGUAUCCUUACGUGAAUACAUAGCGUGAGGAAGGCAGACCCAGGGAACUGAAACAUCUAAGUACCUGGAGGAAGAGAAAGAAAAAUCGAUUUCCUGAGUAGCGGCGAGCGAAACGGAAAGAGCCCAAACCAAGAAGCUUGCUUCUUGGGGUUGUAGGACACUCUAUACGGAGUUACAAAAGAAAGUUAUAAAUGAAGCGGUCUGGAAAGGCCCGCCAAAGACGGUAACAGCCCGGUAGUUGAAAUGGCUUUCCCUCCAGAGUGGAUCCUGAGUACGGCGGAACACGUGAAAUUCCGUCGGAAUCCGGGAGGACCAUCUCCCAAGGCUAAAUACUCCCUAGUGACCGAUAGUGAACCAGUACCGUGAGGGAAAGGUGAAAAGCACCCCGGAAGGGGAGUGAAACAGUUCCUGAAACCGUGUGCCUACAAGUAGUUAGAGCCCGUUAAUGGGUGAUAGCGUGCCUUUUGUAGAAUGAACCGGCGAGUUACGAUUUGUUGCAAGGUUAAGCGGAAAAAGCGGAGCCGUAGCGAAAGCGAGUCUGAAUAGGGCGCAUAAGUAACAGGUCGUAGACCCGAAACCAGGUGAUCUACCCAUGUCCAGGAUGAAGGUAAGGUAAUACUUACUGGAGGUCCGAACCCACGCACGUUGAAAAGUGCGGGGAUGAG